rnacentral:misc_RNA from 1 species
UCCGAGUUGACCUCGGCAGUCUCCUACGAGUCCCCACCAUUACGUGCUGGCAACUAACGACAGAGGUUGCGCUCGUUGCGGGACUUAACCCAACAUCUCACGACACGAGCUGACGACAGCCAUGCAGCACCUGUGUUCAGGUUCUCUUUCGAGCACGAAGCCAUCUCUGGCAACUUCCUGACAUGUCAAGGGUAGGUAAGGUUUUUCGCGUUGCAUCGAAUUAAUCCACAUCAUCCACCGCUUGUGCGGGUCCCCGUCAAUUCCUUUGAGUUUUAAUCUUGCGGCCGUACUCCCCAGGCGGGGAACUUAAUGCGUUAGCUUCGGCACGGAAGGAGUCGACACCGCCCACACCUAGUUCCCAUCGUUUACGGCGUGGACUAC